AAAGGCUGAUAUCGGACUUGCUUUUCUAUAGCAGCACAAAUAAAGACAACGGAUUUGGGUGUACAGAGCUAUUCUGUGUAAACUAUAACGACGCUGGUUUAACAGUAUCAGACAAAAAGAUGUGCACAACUGAACAUUAUUGAUGAAACUAGUGCGCAGUGGGAACUAUCCAUGGUACUUACUGUUAUUGCGCUGGAAGGUCGCGAAGUGAUUCCCUUGUUCUCGUUACACCCACCGGUGACAUUCAACACUGCGGCCUUUGUGCCUGAGGACUUCAUCAUGCGCUACCAUUACGUGCUCCAUGUUUCGAUAAUGCCAAUGACAUUGCAAGACCACAAAAGGAUCAACACAAAGCCUGGUUCAGCGUGCAUUCCCCAAGUCUGUUGAUGCCCGGAGACCUCUGCUUGAAAGCAAACCCACGUCCCACCGGAUCUGCAUAAGGGGUUUUUAUGGAGUGCAGUUUGAGACGCAUAUGC